rnacentral:tRNA from 1 species
GGCUCCAUGGCUUAGCCUGGUAGAGCGCACGACUGAUAAUCGUGAGGUCCCGAGUUCAAAUCUCGGUGGAGCCA